rnacentral:rRNA from 1 species
GACGAACGCUGGCGGCGUGCUUAACACAUGCAAGUCGAACGGAAAGGCCCUGCUUGCAGGGUACUCGAGUGGCGAACGGGUGAGUAACACGUGGGUGAUCUGCCCUGCACUUCGGGAUAAGCCUGGGAAACUGGGUCUAAUACCGGAUAGGAGCCAUUUUUAGUGUGAUGGUUGGAAAGUUUUUUCGGUGUAGGAUGAGCUCGCGGCCUAUCAGCUUGUUGGUGGGGUAAUGGCCUACCAAGGCGGCGACGGGUAGCCGGCCUGAGAGGGUGGACGGCCACAUUGGGACGGAGAUACGACCCAGACUCCUACGGGAGGCAGCAGUGGGGAAUAUUGCACAAUGGGCGCAAGCCUGAUGCAGCGACGCCGCGUGGGGGAUGACGGCCUUCGGGUUGUAAACUCCUUUCGCUAGGGACGAAGCUUUUGUGACGGUACCUAGAUAAGAAGCACCGGCUAACUACGUG